rnacentral:ncRNA from 20 species
UGAGGGGCAGAGAGCGAGACUUU